AAUUCCCCUGUUGCUCUUUGUUUUGAGGCACAGAUGCAUCUGAAGUCACAGAGCCACUUACAAUUGAAGAUCGAGCCAGCGGCUCUUAUGUGAAUGGAGAAACUAUCAGUUGCUUUGAAUCAGAACAGUCCCACUCAACUCAAUUGUUUCCUGGACCUUGUGAUACUCUGUCUUCAUAACACAGACAUGUGAUGCUGAUGGAGGUCUGGGUGAAGGUCUGGCUCCAGGUCAACAU